rnacentral:rRNA from 1 species
AGUGAACGCUGGCGGUAGGCCUAACACAUGCAAGUCGAACGGCAGCACAGUAAGAGCUUGCUCUUACGGGUGGCGAGUGGCGGACGGGUGAGGAAUACAUCGGAAUCUACUUUUUCGUGGGGGAUAACGUAGGGAAACUUACGCUAAUACCGCAUACGACCUACGGGUGAAAGCAGGGGAUCUUCGGACCUUGCGCGAUUGAAUGAGCCGAUGUCGGAUUAGCUAGUUGGCGGGGUAAAGGCCCACCAAGGCGACGAUCCGUAGCUGGUCCGAGAGGAUGAUCAGCCACACUGGAACUAAGACACGGUCCAGACUCCUACGGGAGGCAGCAGUGGGGAAUAUUGGACAAUGGGCGCAAGCCUGAUCCAGCCAUACCGCGUGGGUGAAGAAGGCCUUCGGGUUGUAAAGCCCUUUUGUUGGGAAAGAAAAGCAGCAGGUUAAUACCCCGCUGUUCUGACGGUACCCAAAGAAUAAGCACCGGCUAACUUCGUG